UACGUAGGAUGCAAGCGUUGUUCGGAAUUACUGGGCGUAAAGAGUACGUAGGCGGUUUGAUAAGUCUGAUAUUAAAGACUGGGGCUUAACUUCAGGAAUGUAUCGGAAAACUGUCAGACUAGAGGACAAUAGAGGAAGUCGGAAUUCUCAGUGUAGCGGUGAAAUGCGUAGAUAUUGGGAAGAACACCAGUGGCGAAAGCGGACUUCUGGGUUGUUACUGACGCUGGAGGUACGAAAGCGUGGGGAGCAAACGGG
rnacentral:rRNA from 1 species